UACAGAGGGUGCAAGCGUUGUUCGGAAUUAUUGGGCGUAAAGCGCGUGUAGGCGGCUCGUUAUGUCGGGGUGUGAAAGCCCUCAGCUUAACUGAGGAAGUGCGCCCGAAACUGGCGAGCUUGAGUGUCGGAGAGGAUAGCGGAACACCCGGUGUAGAGGUGAAAUUCGUAGAUAUCGGGUAGAACACCAGUGGCGAAGGCGGCUAUCUGGACGACAACUGACGCUGAGACGCGAAAGCGUGGGGAGCAAACAGG
rnacentral:rRNA from 1 species